rnacentral:rRNA from 1 species
UACGUAGGGGGCAAGCGUUGUCCGGAAUCAUUGGGCGUAAAGCGCGUGUAGGCGGCCCGGUAAGUCCGCUGUGAAAGUCGGGGGCUCAACCCGUCGGAUGCCGGUGGAUACUGUCGGGCUAGGAGUGCGGGAGAGGCGAGUGGAAUUCCUGGUGAUAGCGGUGAAAUGCGCAGAUAUCAGGAGGAACACCAAUUGGCGAAGGCAGCUCGCUGGAACGUAACUGACGCUGGAGAACGCGAAAGCGUGGGGAGCAAACAGG